UAAGACGAACCGUGCGAACGUUGUUCGGAAUCACUGGGCUUAAAGGGCGCGUAGGCGGGCUUGCCGGUCCGGGGUGAAAGCCCCCAGCUCAACUGGGGAAGCGCCUUGGAUACCGCAAGCCUGGAGGGAGGUAGGGGCGUGCGGAACUUCCGGUGGAGCGGUGAAAUGCGUAGAUAUCGGAAGGAACACCGGUGGCGAAAGCGGCGCGCUGGACCUCUUCUGACGCUGAGGCGCGAAAGCCAGGGGAGCAAACGGGAUUAGAUACCCCGGUAGUCCUGGCCCUAAACGUUGGGUACCAGGUUGUGGACUUGCAUGGGUUCACAGCCGGAGCAAAAGUGUUCAGUACCCCGCCUGGGGAGUAUGGUCGCAAGGCUG
rnacentral:rRNA from 1 species